rnacentral:rRNA from 1 species
UACAGAGGAUGCAAGCGUUAUCCGGAAUGAUUGGGCGUAAAGCGUCUGUAGGUGGCUUUUUAAGUCCGCCGUCAAAUCCCAGGGCUCAACUCUGGACAGGCGGUGGAAACUACCAAGCUGGAGUACGGUAGGGGCAGAGGGAAUUUCCGGUGGAGCGGUGAAAUGCGUAGAGAUCGGAAAGAACACCGGUGGCGAAGGCGGCCUUCUGGACGGUGACUGACGCUGAGGCGCGAAAGCGUGGGGAGCAAACGGG